GAAGAAGAAGAAGAAGGAGACGAACAUAGAUAUCAUAAGACGACGACGAAGAAGAAGAAGCAGGAAAAAGAGUCACUUGCGGACUGCUGUCAUAUCGCGUAUCAGUGCUCUAACGUUAACAGAAAAGCUUUAGCUGAGCUGUACACAAACUGACAACAUUACAAGUAAAAUACAAACGACUUUAUAAUUCACAGUCAUCCCAAUGGACGCUGCUCAGAGUUUGUCAAGAUUUUCCCUGGACCUGGGUCCGCUUAAAGAACCUCUUGGGUUUAUUCGCGUCUUAGAGUGGAAAACAACAACAAACAAUGACAGCCUUCAUGAUGGAC